rnacentral:tRNA from 1 species
GCAAAAAUGCCAGAGAUUAUGGGUAUGGUUUAGGUCCAUAUAACGACUAUUUUAGUCUUUUUGCU